AUCUGACGCGUGCCAGGGAGAAUUCUGGAUUCAAAGGGCUGCUUAGAUUCUGUACUGAUGCCAUGUAGGAACGUACAUACUCAAUGUCACACUGCUAAGUGGAGAAAGGCACAAAUCGGUGUUUCCAUAAUUAAUCACCUUAACACCUGAUUCAGAUGUUUUGAUUUGGUAUAUGAGUAGCUAAUCAAGAUAACAAUGAUAAACACUGAAAACGUGACACGAAACUCUAAUAAAGCAAAAUAACAGCUGUACACUUAAAGGGUUGGGACAGUUCUUGAAGCCAGGCAGAGUCUACAAAAGAGAAGAAAUGUGAAGAAAAGAAAACAGCAUUAAAGGUGAAUCUUCUUCAUCUCUCCCGCACCUCUUCCCAUGGCUGAAUCACCUGUUGAAUCUUCUACUUCCUUUUCUAUCUCCUCCUCCCCUGGCUGCCACGAAGUCCAGCCCUAUUCUCU